UACGGGGGGCAAGCGUUGUUCGGAAUACUGGGCGUAAAGGGCUCGUAGGCGGCCACUAAGUCGGACGUGAAAUCCCUCGGCUUAACCGGGAACUGCGUCCGAUACUGGAUGGCUGGAGGUUGGGAGAGGGAUGCGGAAUUCCAGGUGUAGCGGUGAAAUGCGUAGAUAUCAGGAGGAACACCGGUGGCGAAGGCGGAUCUCUGGGCCUUACCUGACGCUCAGGCGCGAAAGCUAGGGGAGCGAACUGG
rnacentral:rRNA from 1 species